GGAUGCGAUCAUACCAGCACUAAAGCACCGGAUCCCAUCAGAACUCCGAAGUUAAGCGUGCUUGGGCGAGAGUAGAACUAGGAUGGGUGACCUCCUGGGAAGUCCUCGUGUUGCAUCCC
rnacentral:rRNA from 1 species